ACCAGACUCCUACGGGAGGCAGCAGUGAGGAAUAUUGGUCAAUGGUCGGGAGACUGAACCAGCCAAGCCGCGUGAGGGAGGAAGGUACAGAGUAUCGUAAACCUCUUUUGUCAGGGAACAAAGACUGGGACGCGUCCCCGGAUGAGUGUACCUGAAGAAAAAGCAUCGGCUAACUCCGUGCCAGCAGCCGCGGUAAUACGGAGGAUGCGAGCGUUAUCCGGAUUUAUUGGGUUUAAAGGGUGCGCAGGCGGUCUGUUAAGUCAGCGGUAAAAUCGCGGGGCUCAACCUCGCUCCGCCGUUGAAACUGGCGUUCUUGAGUGGGCGAGAAGUAUGCGGAAUGCGUGGUGUAGCGGUGAAAUGCAUAGAUAUCACGCAGAACUCCGAUUGCGAAGGCAGCGUACCGGCGCCCAACUGACGCUGAAGCACGAAGGCGUGGGUAUCGAACAGGAUUAGAUACCCGGGUA
rnacentral:rRNA from 1 species